ACAGUGAAGAAGGAAUGCAGGAAGAGUCUCNGGAUCAGGAGCCCACAGGCUGGACUCACACCAGCUACUGCAGAGUCAGAACGAAGACUCANGAGGGAUGGCUCCACAGCAAGAAUCACCCUUUGUCUGGACCAGAGCCAGAAACAUGGGGCUCAUGCUGAGAAAGGCUCCAACCCCCGGUUCCCACUUAGGGUCCACCUUGGAAGACNGGACUGUAGCUGUUCNUUGCGGACAGUGCAGUCACUGGCAGAGAGAGAUGGGAGCUGAAACACAAGCCACAGACCUCAGGUUAACCCAUGGCAACCCUCGGCACAGCCAGGGGCUUGGCUACUCGUUCUGGUGCCCCGUGGCGCAGCUCAGGACCUUAGAGUCUAAUCAUCAGCUCGGAUCAGAGGGCAACUUGGGCCGCCUACCUGAGGCCGUGGCCGCCGUGGCGUCUGCUUUGUCUGGAACCAGCCUGAUGCCAUCAGACACGUCCACCUGGUGAUCAGCCUCCUCCCUUGAGGCCCCAUCAUGCUGUGGUGACAGAGGAUUGCUUCUAACGUGUUCCUUGCAGAUGAUGAAGCACCAGCAGUCGGACAUGAGGCUGUGAUGUCAAAGGAACAUGAGGUCAAGUUGCAGAUCGAAGGAUUGCUGCUUCGGACAAGAACAAAGCCACUAGCUACAGUCUUUAGCAUUGAUUCUGA
rnacentral:lncRNA from 1 species